UACGGAGGGGGCGAGCGUUAUUCGGAAUCACUGGGCGUAAAGGGUGCGUAGGCGGGUUUUUAAGUCAGGGGUGAAAUCCUGGAGCUCAACUCCAGAACUGCCUUUGAUACUGAAGAUCUCGAGUCCGGGAGAGGUGAGUGGAACUGCGAGUGUAGAGGUGAAAUUCGUAGAUAUUCGCAAGAACACCAGUGGCGAAGGCGGCUCACUGGCCCGGUACUGACGCUGAGGCACGAAAGCGUGGGGAGCAAACAGG
rnacentral:rRNA from 1 species